rnacentral:lncRNA from 1 species
ACAUCAGCCUGGAGGGCGUCACCUUCAGCGAGGCAGCAGAGGUCAUGCAGAGCAGCCCUGAGGAAGUGCAGCUCAUCAUCUCACAGCCGAAAGUCCCAACUCUGAGUCCCAACAGUGUUCGCUCUCCCGUGUUCAGGAGUUACGAAUGCCAGACCACGCUGAUGACGGACGGACGCUCAGUUGACGACAGUUUGGAUGAGAUUGUCUCGGUUAUGAUGACACCGAAGACCAGCAACAGGCUUCACGUCCCCCGAGACGUACGAGCCGUCGGUACACAGGACAGCUGCUCUCUGUCUCCGUCUCUAAACUGUGUGAGGCCGAGCGAGAUCACCGUGGAGAUCAGAAAGAUAUCAGGAAGUCUGGGCGUCAGCAUCGCUGGUGGUGUCAACACAAACCUUCCCAACGGAGGACUCUACAUAAAAAGCCUUGUUCCAGGAGGGGCUGCUGAGAGAGAAG